UCACGAUGAUCCUCGGUUCACGUAUCCUCGAUUUGGAGUAUCACUGUAGGUUACUGCUGACUGCCUCGCCCCUUUUAUCUGCGGUACUAAUGCCAUCAGAAUUUUACGAGGAAGAGUUGAUUUAGCGCGUAAGGCUGGCGCCGUAGAUCUGGGUGCGUCGAGGUCGAAUGGCUACGUACACGUCGAUAGACAUGACGCAAGCAGAUCGUGAAGAGAUGAAGUUCAAGGUUGACUCGGCUGAGUGCGCGCUACGCCAGCGGCAGAGGUGAUGGAAAUCGUGACAGCGACCCACGCUAGAGUGAAAAAUACAUAGGAAGAUGGAGGAAAAACAGGGUAAAAGAGAACGUGAGUGGGUUGGAGAAUCUCGAGGGCGAAGUUAAUGUCCUUAAGGGAAUGAGAGCUUUUUUGGAUUUUCGUUCCAAAGAUUCGAAUGGAAGGGGCAAGUCAAUUGUAUAAGUCAAAUCCGAUUACUGAUGACAUCAAGGAGAUUGGGAAUCACAUCAGGGCACAUCAGAGCUGACUGUGAGUGUGGUAGAUACGUGGAGAAACGGGUAGUAUUUGGGUUGGCGUGCCCGGACACGGCCCGGACGGUAUGGCCUUGAACUUGACCUCGGCCCUGAGCUCACCAACUAAACUAACCUCUACAGAUACAACGUAUCCCGUACCAGCUCGACACUCGUUAAAGUUGGUUGCGAAUGUCGAGAACCCAGCGGCAUCCGCGAUACGUACCAACAGUCGCCAAUAAGAAACAUAUCCUCGACCUAACAUCCGCUCUAGGUCACAACCUCAGCUUGCAGCUGGCUCUGCCAACCGAUUUACUGACCUAGUGCAAGACACGCUAUGAGAAUCUUGUCGAGCGUAUGUCCCAAGGAUCCCUUAUAUGGAGGAAAUAAAACUACAAGGAUUUCCAUCCGACGUCAAGAUCCUAGAUUUUACUCUAGGUCUCUAUAUAUUCUGCUACAUUAUAUAAUGGCGAAUCCUUAGGUCGACCUCGACGUGACCCUUGGACCUUGGGAUAUAUACAUAAACGUAACCCCCUCGAGCAAGUUCUCUCUUGGCUGACAUCGAUGUAUAACGUGGAGUUGCCCGUGACCGCCAAAGACCUUGGCCAUGGCUCGUAGUGUACGAGCUGAGGGUACUGCCAGCGGUAGGGGAUGGAACAGCUAGGACGUCGCAACGCAAGCGUCGAGGCGCGCGCAUCCCGCUCGAUGCGAUGAAACUACAUCGCAAUCGAAGCUAGGUCAACCUUGACCUUAUACUCGCUGCUAGCCACAGGUCCAUACUCCAAGUGCGCUCGAAGGCUAUUUGCACGGGAAUUACGAGGGCAGCCAACUAUAGAUAUAAAUCAAAUGAAAUGUGUGGACAUCAGGAUGGAAAAAUUCUGUAGUUUGUAAAUUGGAUUAUAACACCGAAAUUACUGAGUCGACCUUGGCCUUGACAUCGACCGUAGCGUCCCGACGCUACGCAGUUGCAUCAGAGGGAAUUUCAUCAUAGACCGUUCGAUACGCGAGAUGUUAUAUAUGUUUGGUGAAAAUUUUUGUAGAGGUUCGUGGAAGUCGGAUGAUAUAAAUUUAGAUACAUAUAUGCAUCAGUGGUAAGAGAAGAGGGGAUACGUAUCACGAAAGCGGGAACACACUCGUAUCUUAUUUCCUGAGCUUCCAAAAUUAGUUGAGCGUUCUGGGGACGGUUCAUACGUCAUAUGAGGAAUAUGACUACGUCCCACGUAUACACGUAAUAACAAUUCACUGUAUAUUCCGUAAUCUCCAGACAUUCUCGCAAUCUCAUUUUUAAUGAUAGCCUGACGAUCUAAAUUAAAGCAUU